UACGAAGGGUGCAAGCGUUACUCGGAAUUACUGGGCGUAAAGCGUGCGUAGGUGGUGAGUUAAGUCUGUCGUGAAAGCCCCGGGCUCAACCUGGGAAUGGCGAUGGAUACUGGCUCGCUAGAGUGCGGUAGAGGAGAGUGGAAUUCCCGGUGUAGCAGUGGAAAUGCGUAGAGAUCGGGAGGAACAUCAGUUGCGAAGGCGGCUCUCUGGACCAGCACUGACACUGAGGCACGAAAGCGUGGGGAGCAAACAGG
rnacentral:rRNA from 1 species